GGUCCACCGGAUCUAGCAAAAUUUUUAAAGUGGUAUAUGAGAAAAAAAGUUUGGGAACCUCUGAUUUAAAGCCGUGUCG